AAUUAAGUAGGUAAAAUAUUAAAUAGCUAUCGUAGUAUCGUACGUGUCCUUAAAGAUGCCAUGUUUACAAAACACAAAAUAGGUGCUCGAAUGCUUGAUUGCACUCAAUAACACGAAAAAAUCGAAACACUGAUGCCCUCUAUGCUCGCAAGAUAGAUCAUCAACACGUGUUCGCUGCAACGUCCUGGAGCAGCGACAAUGGGCACUGGCUGAUUAUUAUUAAUAGAUUCAGUUUCCGGCCUAGCUAUUUAACACCAACCAAGCGGCCAUCGCUAAUUUGCAGUGAAACGCAAAAGUAUAUCAUCUUCUGGUUUUAUAACGAAAAAAAAAACUGGAAAAUUCCUCUUUUGCCGGUUUUUCCCGACAACAACGACUACCUACGUCACUGCAGACAUCACGCAAUGAUUUAAUAUCUACAGAACUCGCAAUACACGGG